CCGAAGAAUACAAAGGAUACUCGUGGUAUACGGCCCGCAACAGUGCGCAAGAGUGGGCCAUCUUCGUAGCGCCGGGGUCUCUCCGUCACAGGGGGCGUUCACGAGCCGUCGACCAGAACGCGUGGAGUCAUCUGAGCUGUGGUCCACGACGGUAGUCCAGGUCGUUCCGAAAACCUGAGCCAUGGCGACACGAGAACCCUGGGUCCCGUGCUUUCUGCGGCGGCGCGGCAAUGUCGGCCGACGGGCUGGAGUUCCGACGGAUCCCGUUGACCGGUGAGUUUUCCUUUCCCGGUGUUCGUCUUUCGAUUGCUUGUUUGCCUUGGGGGCCCGGAUUUUCGGUCCACGAUUUUGGUGACCGCCCACAGCUCACCACCACCGCCGGUGAGCGGUGACUAUGCUUCGACUCGCACGUUUCCUCCUAGGGAGGAGCUUGCGGACAUCCUGGAACAUCAAGAUCCGGUCUCCCCCAAGCUGCUGCCGCCCCGUGAUGCAAUCCGGCUAUGCCGGCUGAUUCCAAUGUUGGGUCAGGCUGCGCGCGGCAUGAAGGUAACCGCGGCCCCGUGAGGCCGGGAGGGGAAUUCCUGGCAAAAACAACGCUUCUACGACUUCUUCUGCACAAUCCAAUGGGAGGGAGAACCCCGAAGCACUGGGUGGACGAAAAGGUUGCGGCUGGGCAGUGCACCACCAGACAGAAGUGCUGUCGGCCUUCAGUUGUCGGUAUACUGACAUGAUGGUAAAUGCAGGUGUUGAUUGUGGUGGAACAGGGGCUCACGGUGGUACAGAAGUGCAGAAUUUCAUAGAGGGUCAUUUCCAGAGGAAGGGAGUAGACUAAGGCGAGUGGUGCUAGGAAUCCGACAGGUGAUCUGGCGGUGAAGAGUGAGUGGGGAGAGAAGUUCCCUCAUUCCAUCUGACUAAACCAUGACGAGCCAUCGCUUCGGGAUGUUCUUUGGUUCUACGACAACAUGCUGGGUUGUUCUGAGGAAACUUUCGAAGAAAUGGUUUAGGCACGUCAAUCCAUUUGCCGCGGUGAUGUUCGAGCAAGACCUGAAAGGAAGAACUAGGAGAGGAGUUUUCGAUCCUGUGUUGUGUGGUAAGUGUCUCACUGUCUGUGAUCCACCAUUGGAACGUGAUAACAUACAUAGUGCUGUCUUUGACUGGUGUGCACUUCUUCGCAUAUGGUAAUUACCUCCAACCUUGGUCAAGUCAGAUGGCCAACUCAUGACGUACGGCCACUGGACUACCCACUGCCCUGCUGUUGCUGCCUACACUUUUAGGAAGUUAAUAUCUGUUGUCUCUUGAAUGAUCACGUAAAACUAUCUGAAGUGCACUUUCAAACGAAAUAAAAAACUUUUUUGUGAUACAUAUAUACUGCAUGGAGGAUACCAGGGCAUGCAGCUUGCACAUUGCACGACAUUACGACAGCAUAAAACUGAAACUUCCCUUGAUGAAGUACAAUAUGAUGAACAAACUUAAGAGGCAAGCCCUCCACGAGUGUCUGAAGUUACAAGGAAACACCUCGACGUUGGCACGCGAGGCAUUGUGGGCAGUCCUAGCACCUGGCGACUCUUACUUCGUAUGAAACCCUCUUCUGCCUAAAAACAUGUCCUGGAAGCGAACUUCCUCUAGCAGAUUGUCCCAUGCGCCUUACCUAAUGUACCAUCUUAGGCAUUACUACGAUCUCCACUGACCAUCAUUUUAAGAUGUUGUAUCGAACAUUUGAGCCUAGUAUAUUGCUUUUUGCUCACUUCGUAGCUUGUUUUUUAGAUUCAUGCAAGGAACAAUCACUGUUUUACAAUCAUCCUUCAGUGUACUCUGUACGAAUGUUUGCGACAGCCUAAACUCUUUGGCCACAUCGCCACAUUUGUUUGCUUCUCCUUGUAUUCAUCUACUUGCUAUUUAGACAAACCAGUCAGCACUUCAUGUAAUCACAAAUCUAGGCCCGAAUACAUGUCUGACGCCCUAUCUAAUGAGCUACAAAUUCCUGAAUCAGUUUCUUUGGGUUGCACUCACGUGACACUUCAACAGCAGUAUGAGAGUUGUUGUAGUACAGCAAAAUCUAACAGUAGAGUUUAUGCGAGGAAACAUUUUCGCAUUGAAAACUUUCCUGCUGCAGGAGAGUUGUACUCACGUGACACUUGCUCCAGCAGCAGUAUGAGACUUAUAAAUUUCGAAUUGUAAGGUCAAACCAUUACAAGCAAACUUGUGCAAACAUUUCCGACGCCAUUUGCAAUUGCACGCUUUGUAAUGCACCCAGCAUGCACUAACAACUCUCAGAGAAUAUGCUAAUUGAUGUUGUUCAGCAAGCACCGACGGAAACGGUGUUGAUGCGGACAUGGCGAGGGAUCGAAAGAAAAGGGCGGCAAGAUCGGGAGGGAGUGGCAUAGGAUAAGGCCAGCUGGGUUGGUGGCCGUUAUUAUGCCUGCUUUCCGUGUAAGCCCGACGGCUCGGGAUGGCACAGAAAACUAAACGGGCCGUGCGCCAGGGCCUGUUCCGGCCGAGAGGUGACAAGGCGUACCGCUUUCAAUGCGACUGAGGCCCACGUUAUGUUUUACAUCGAUACUGUCUGAAUACAGCUGCGAAUACAUCUAAAGGAGCACAUCCCCAUGCGUGUUGACGGAUGUGAUAUCGAGAGCAGCUGAGCCUGGGCUCAGAUUUGAAUAUUCCGACAUUCGCCCUCAAUGGCCACUAAUGCCCUACCUAGGCCAUGAACAUUAUGAUCGCUCUUACGUCUUGUGGGUCGGAAUCACACCGCUAACAGAAGAAAAAUAUGUCGUCUUAUACAUCAUAAGGCAUUAUAUCGAUCCAGAUCUUAGCAUAUGAUUAUUCUCUAUUAGCAAACCCUGGGACACGGAGGACUGAUACGUCUUCAACGUAUCUAUAAUUUUUAAUUGUUUCAUGCUAUUAUAUUAUCUGUUUUGGAUGUUUAAUGAGCUUUAUUAUACACUUUUAUAUUAUUUUUGGGACUAACCUAUUAACCCAA